rnacentral:rRNA from 1 species
AACGAACGCUGGCGGCAGGCUUAACACAUGCAAGUCGAGCGAGACCUUCGGGUCUAGCGGCGGACGGGUGAGUAACGCGUGGGAACGUGCCCUUCUCUACGGGAAUAGCCCCCGGGAAACUGGGAGUAAUACCGUAUACGCCCUUUGGGGGAAAGAUUUAUCGGAGAAGGAUCGGCCCGCGUUGGAUUAGGUAGUUGGUGGGGUAAUGGCCCACCAAGCCGACGAUCCAUAGCUGGUUUGAGAGGAUGAUCAGCCACACUGGGACUGAGACACGGCCCAGACUCCUACGGGAGGCAG